rnacentral:rRNA from 1 species
UUGAAAUAGCUUUCCCUCCAGAGUGGAUCCUGAGUACGGCGGAACACGUGAAAUUCCGUCGGAAUCCGGGAGGACCAUCUCCCAAGGCUAAAUACUCCCUAGUGACCGAUAGUGAACCAGUACCGUGAGGGAAAGGUGAAAAGCACCCCGGAAGGGGAGUGAAACAGUUCCUGAAACCGUGUGCCUACAAGUAGUUAGAGCCCGUUAAUGGGUGAUAGCGUGCCUUUUGUAGAAUGAACCGGCGAGUUACGAUUUGUUGCAAGGUUAAGCGGAAAAAGCGGAGCCGUAGCGAAAGCGAGUCUGAAUAGGGCGCAUAAGUAACAGGUCGUAGACCCGAAACCAGGUGAUCUACCCAUGUCCAGGAUGAAGGUAAGGUAAUACUUACUGGAGGUCCGAACCCACGCACGUUGAAAAGUGCGGGGAUGAGGUGUGGGUAGCGGAGAAAUUCCAAUCGAACUUGGAGAUAGCUGGUUCUCUCCGAAAUAGCUUUAGGGCUAGCCUCGAGGUAAAGAGUCAUGGAGGUAGAGCACUGUUUGGACUAGGGGCCCUUCUCGGGUUACCGAAUUCAGAUAAACUCCGAAUGCCAUGUACUUAUACUCGGGAGUCAGACUGCGAGUGAUAAGAUCCGUAGUCGAAAGGGAAACAGCCCAGACCACCAGUUAAGGUCCCCAAAUAUAUGUUAAGUGGAAAAGGAUGUGGGGUUGCUUAGACAACCAGGAUGUUGGCUUAGAAGCAGCCACCAUUGAAAGAGUGCGUAAUAGCUCACUGGUCGAGUGACCCCGCGCCGAAAAUGUACCGGGGCUAAACAUAUUACCGAAACUGUGGAUGAACCUCUUCGGAGGUUCGUGGUAGGAGAGCGUUCUAAGGGCGGUGAAGUCAGACCGGAAGGACUGGUGGAGCGCUUAGAAGUGAGAAUGCCGGUAUGAGUAGCGAAAGAAGGGUGAGAAUCCCUUCCACCGAAUAUCUAAGGUUUCCUGAGGAAGGCUCGUCCGCUCAGGGUUAGUCGGGACCUAAGCCGAGGCCGAUAGGCGUAGGCGAUGGACAACAGGUAGAGAUUCCUGUACCAGUGCUAAUUGUUUAACCGAUGGGGUGACACAGAAGGAUAGGGAAUCGCACGAAUGGAAAUGUGCGUCCAAGCAGUGAGUGUGAGAAGUAGGCAAAUCCGCUUCUCGCGAAGCAUGAGCUGUGAUGGGGAAGGAAAUAAAGUACGGAAGUUCCUGAUUUCACGCUGUCAAGAAAAGCCUCUAGGAAGAGUAGUACUGCCCGUACCGCAAACCGACACAGGUAGAUGAGGAGAGAAUCCUAAGGUGAGCGAGAGAACUCUCGUUAAGGAACUCGGCAAAAUGACCCCGUAACUUCGGGAGAAGGGGUGCUCUAUUAGGGUGCAAGCCCGAGAGAGCCGCAGUGAAUAGGCCCAGGCGACUGUUUAGCAAAAACACAGGUCUCUGCAAAACCGUAAGGUGACGUAUAGGGGCUGACGCCUGCCCGGUGCUGGAAGGUUAAGAGGAGUGCUUAGCUUCGGCGAAGGUACGAAUUGAAGCCCCAGUAAACGGCGGCCGUAACUAUAACGGUCCUAAGGUAGCGAAAUUCCUUGUCGGGUAAGUUCCGACCCGCACGAAAGGCGCAACGAUCUGGGCACUGUCUCAACGAGAGACUCGGUGAAAUUAUAGUACCUGUGAAGAUGCAGGUUACCCGCGACAGGACGGAAAGACCCCGUGGAGCUUUACUGCAACCUGAUAUGGAAUGUUUGUACCGCUUGUACAGGAUAGGUAGGAGCCGAAGAGACGUGUGCGCUAGCAUACGAGGAGGCAAUGGUGGGAUACUACCCUGGCUGUAUGACCAUUCUAACCCGCCACGCUUAGCGCGUGGGGAGACAGUGUCAGGUGGGCAGUUUGACUGGGGCGGUCGCCUCCUAAAGAGUAACGGAGGCGCCCAAAGGUUCCCUCAGAAUGGAUGGAAAUCAUUCGCAGAGUGUAAAGGCACAAGGGAGCUUGACUGCGAGACUGACAAGUCGAGCAGGGACGAAAGUCGGGCUUAGUGAUCCGGUGGUUCCGCAUGGAAGGGCCAUCGCUCAACGGAUAAAAGCUACCCCGGGGAUAACAGGCUUAUCUCCCCCAAGAGUCCACAUCGACGGGGAGGUUUGGCACCUCGAUGUCGGCUCGUCGCAUCCUGGGGCUGUAGUCGGUCCCAAGGGUUGGGCUGUUCGCCCAUUAAAGCGGCACGCGAGCUGGGUUCAGAACGUCGUGAGACAGUUCGGUCCCUAUCCGUCGCGGGCGCAGGAAAUUUGAGAGGAGCUGUCCUUAGUACGAGAGGACCGGGAUGGACACACCGCUGGUGUACCAGUUGUUCCGCCAGGAGCAUCGCUGGGUAGCUAUGUGUGGCAGGGAUAAACGCUGAAAGCAUCUAAGCGUGAAGCCCCCCUCAAGAUGAGAUUUCCCAUUUCUUCGGAAAGUAAGAUCCCUGAAAGAUGAUCAGGUAGAUAGGUUUGGAGUGGAAGUGUAGCGAUACAUGGAGCGGACAAAUACUAAUCGAUCGAGGACUUAACCAAAA